GACGAACGCUGGCGGCGUGCUUAACACAUGCAAGUCGAACGGAAAGGCCCCUUUGGGGGUACUCGAGUGGCGAACGGGUGAGUAACACGUGAGUAACCUGCCCUUGACUUCGGGAUAACUUCAGGAAACUGGGGCUAAUACCGGCUAGGAAUCCUUGCUGCAUGGUGGGGGUUGGAAAGCUUCGGCGGUUUUGGAUGGACUCGCGGCUUAUCAGCUUGUUGGUGGGGUAGUGGCUUACCAAGGCUUUGACGGGUAGCCGGCCUGAGAGGGCGACCGGCCACAUUGGGACUGAGAUACGGCCCAGACUCCUACGGGAGGCAGCAGUGGGGAAUAUUGCACAAUGGGCGGAAGCCUGAUGCAGCAACGCCGCGUGCGGGAUGACGGCCUUCGGUUUGUAAACCGCUUUCAGCAGGGGCGAAGCUUGUGGUGACGGUACCUGCAGAAGAAGCACCGGCUAACUACGUG
rnacentral:rRNA from 1 species